UAGAAAAUUAUAUAUUAUUGCCAAUAGUUAUAAAAAAUUACUCUCCGGCAAAAAAAUUAAAAAAAUAUUGUUAUGUUUAUUGAAAGAAACUCAAAAACAAUUUGAGUUAAUGAAAAUGCUUUACUUGAUUUGCAUAUUGUUUGGUUUUUUAACGUUGGAGAAGGUUAUAAAUGCAGCGCCAUUUAAGAACGACUUUGCAAUACAACUUGAUGCGUGCACAUUUAGAAGAUGGACAAGUUGUGAGAGUGUUCAUCCAAGCAAAGAAGAGAGACACAAAAAGUUGAUCGAAAAAAUCAAAAACUUACUAAAAGAAAUUUCAGUUGAAGUUAUAAAAGACAAACACGGGUAAAACUCAAAAUGUUGUUUAACAUCAGGAGCACUUCAUGUAAUCGAGAAAACUAAAAGAUUUACGUGACUUUUACAGAAGGCAGUGUUUUUUUGUUUUUUUGUUUGCCUUAAAAAAUUAUUUGUUUUGUUUUAUUUAGAUAAUUAAUUUAGUUUUAA